AUCAUCCGACGAAUUCGAAACGUAUGGCGCGCGUAUUAUCUCUUAGUGCUUUCAAGCGAUGGACAAUUUUAGAGCUGCCCCCGUGUUAAUCCGGCGAGUUCGGAAGAAUCGGUUUGUCCAUAGACAAAAUUAGACAUCGAACGAGCCUAGCGCGAUUGACGUUCCCAUCCAGCCUGAGAUCAAUCCUAUAUAACCGGAGUUGGAGAUGCAGCUGUUAAGAGAAAAGCAGCGUGCCGUGAAGCUCUGGAAAAGAAAUAACGAAAAAGCUCGAGGAACGUCGUCUUGCGAGUUGCAAUCGUUGAGUGCAAGGAUGCGCAGGCUCGCGACCUCGUUUCCUUCGAACACGUCGUCGUCGUCGUCGUCGUCGUCGUCAUCGUCGUCGUCCUUGUCAAAGAAGCCCAGUCGUCGUUCGAGAAAUAGCACUCGGGGAAGAUUUUCGUGUGCCCGAACAUAGCGAAUUUUUUAGCAGUGCGGAGCGUAAUAGAAAAAAAAAAAAAAAACAAAAGGAAAGGAAAGGAAAGGAUUAGAGAAAGAAAAAAAAGAGAAGCGUCAGAGAAGAACAUGGAAAAAAAUGGACGAAAAGAAAAACGGCGUGCAGAUUGUAAAAGUUUACCUCGAACAAUGGUUGUAACCGGCCAUUGGGAAGACUCGAGCCUCUUACAACACCACAUGUUUACAGCUUCUUUUUAUUAAGCCUGACACGAAAAGGUGUGACUUCGUGUUCUCUCCUUUUAACUAAUACUCGAGGACGACGAUGAAGGAGAAACGACGUUUUUCUUUUCUUUUCUUUCCUUUUUUUUUUUAGUUUUUUCUCUUUUCUUUUUUUUUUUUUUCUCUUAAUCCCUCUCACGAAGAGACAAACUACGAUGAAAUAGGUAAUAGAAAAGAAAGAAAAGGACAAAAGGUAAAGACAAAGACGAAGGCGAAUGUAGAAAAAGAAGAAGAAGAAGAAGAAGACGACGAGGAGGAAGCCCCAGAAAGCCCUUUCCUCGCGCGUGAAUACGCUCCGAAUCGGUCGAAAGAGGGAGCACAGUGAACUUUCCUUCUCUCGUCGCGACGAACCACGGCGCCGGCAAAUGGCGUCUGUGGUCGAUAGACCACGCACGCUCGGCUCACCAUUUCUCUUCCCCGCUACAACUCGAACCUCCUAUAUAGUUUCCAUGGGGGACCAAAAGAUGGGGUAACGUCUAUACGUUCCAUUGCCUAUUUCCUUUCUAUCAAUUCGAAUCGACCACUUUCUCCUCCUGUGUCUCAUUCUUUUUCUUCUUCUUCUUCUUCGUCUCGUCACACCCAUCCGGUACCGAGGAGGAUCGCUCUCUAAUUUGCCCUGCAAAUGAAACUCUUCCCCUCCUCCUCUUCUUCUCUCUCUUAUCCCUUCUCCUUUUCUUUCUCUAUCGUUAUUUCAAACGUUUUAAAUUGAUUACGAUUAUCGAUUCCUUGUUGUUCGAAUUAAACAAGAAAUUCCUCAUGGAAUUUAAUAGGAUUAUUCGAAGAAUCAAAUUGGGUUUUCUUUUUUAUUCUUCAUUCUCCAAACCCUCUCUCUACCCCUAUCUCUACUUCCCACCUCACCCGUUAAAUCGAUCAAUCACAUCCUAUUAUCCUAUUAUCGAUGAUGAAAGCGAACCGAUGAUGGAGAUAAGAUAAUGAAAAAAAUAAAGAAUUGUAAAAGUCUCUGUUGAAAUAUGUAAGAGAGUUUGUCAUCAUGGAUAAAAAUACGGCCAAGCAAGGUGAACGCACCCGCGUCCUUUGUGUCUGUGUGUGUGUGAGAGAGAGAGAGAGAGAGAGAGAGAGAGAGAGAGAGAGAGAGAGAGAGAGAGAGAGAGAGAGAGAGAGAGAGAGAGAGAGAGAAAGAGAGAGAGUCCUUUCAUAUUCGUUUCUAACCAUAGUGACUGUAGAAGCAUUAUAUUCUCCAUUUCUACGGUUAUCGAUUGCACUGUGGUAAGCACGUAAAAGACAACUAUUGUUUUCACGAUAUCUCCGAUAACUUCUUUUCUAUCCUUUCGUCGUAACCGCGGAAUUCCAUGUCGAUCAGGCAGGAAAUUAAAUCCUGAAAUUAUACGCUUGCUAAUACACGUACAUCUAUAUACGUAUAAACUAUAUACGAUACGAUAUAUGCGCCCGCGCGAGAGAGAGAGAGAAAGAGAGAGAGAGAGAGAGGACGGGUAGGGUGGGGGAAAGUAAGAGAAUAAGACCGAUGUAUAUAAUACAAUCGAUCUCGACUUUUACUUUCAAUCUUUAUUACAUUUCAGCAAUAAAUAACCCCACGUAAUAUCUUCUUCUUUUUUCUAUUUCAUAAUAGUUCUCGAUUCUUUAUCGAGUAUUCCUACAAACAUCGUAACAUCAUUUAAAUCAAAAUCAAAAUAAUAAUAAUAAUAAUAAUAAUAAUAAUAAUAAUAAUAAUAAUAAUAAAAUAAAAAAAGAAAAGAAGAGGAAAGGAAGAAAGAAGGGAAAACUUGUCUUACAACUCUUAGAAACGCGCUCAUUCAAACUCUCAUCCUGAAAUAAUCAAAAGGCGUGAUAGGAACGUUAAGUAACGUGGAAGGAAAUUUUUCCUUGAAAAGUUUUGUCAAAAGAAAUUCAACCAGACGAAUUCGCCUUUGGUAAAGCGCGUUUUGCGAAUUCAAAUUCUAAGAUGAAGAGGCAACAAGAAAGAAAGAAAGAGAGAGAGAGUAAGAGAGAGAGAGAUCGGAUCUAAAUAUAGCGAGGAGGAGCGCAUAGUUUCGCUAAGGAAUUUCCAAGACUCCUCGAAGGCAGCAAGCACGGCAAAGCAAUUCUACGUCUUGCGCAUAUUUUUCGUGCGCUGCUACCGUCCGUGCAAGAUGCGCGAUAUGCGGAAGAAUAGACGAACAAGGAGAAUUAACGCGCUAGCGAGUUCUCCGGGCGCGUUAAUUCUUCGAACGCGUCACGGAUCGAUCGCGAAAGAAUGAACAAGCUCUUCCUCGCGCGCACUCCUCGAUCCGAUCGUCGAGUUCGCGCGUUUAUCGCUAGACCAUCGUAAUAACAAACGAAUACUAACUACUUCCCUUCUGUACGAAGGAUAGAAAAAAAAAAAAAAAAAAAGAUAAAAAAAGAACUCAUAAUCGUUUCUAUGGAUCAAUACUGCGACUAAGCACUUUAAAAAAUACUUUUUUAAUUGAUAUGUUGAAUAUUGCAUGAGGUUUCCAUCGAUGUCCAUGAUUCAAUUUUGCUAAUUUUAUUUUGUGAUAUUUGCAGCUCUCUCUCUCUCUCUCUCUCUCUCUCUCUCUCUCUCUCCCUCUCUUUCUCUCUCUUUUAAUUUUGUAAACAUUUGUAAAAAAAUUUUGUUAAAAUAAAAAUAAAAUCUCUUAUAUCUAUUAUUUACGCGAAGCUUCAAAAAGUAUUAAACGAAUGUAUCGAUUUGUGCAAAAUAACUUCGACAGUAAAUCUGUAUGUAAAUGUGUAUGGAAUAUUUAAAAUUUGCUUUCUUUAUAUAUUAGUCCGCUGUUGUAAUAAAUUAAAAAAUAUUGAUAUCGAAUAUAAUUGAAUUCGAGAUAGGGGGAAGAAACAAAAAAAAGAAUCGCUUAAAUCCAAAUAAAAUAUCGCGUUAAACUCAACUCGUGUAUAGUAAAUAAAAAUAAAAAGAAGGACAACUAAUAAUCGUUCGAGAAUCAUUUAAACAAUUCUUUCACUCUUACCAUAAAUUAUUAUUAAUGAUAAAGGUCGUGAGAAAUGGCGAACGGUUUUCCGAUAUUACCGAUAAUCGAUAUACACAUACAUAUAUCGUGAUAUACCUAACAGUUCCACGAAGUUAUUACUCAUCGAACUGUAUCCGGCACUUGCUUCCGUGGAAUUUCUCACCCUGCCAGAAGAUCGAGAUAACGAUGGACGAUAAGAGACAGAUUGAUCUGACAGGCGCUGUUAUUAGUAGUGAUCUCAAUGUUCUACUCAUAUGCCUACUUAUUAUACAUACAAUAUUUAUGCAUAAAUCAGACAUUCUUCUAACAAUUAUUAUUAAUAACUGUGAAAAUAAUUAAUUAUAAUCAUUAAGAAGGAUUACACUA